UACGUAGGGUGCGAGCGUUAUCCGGAUUUACUGGGCGUAAAGGGUUGCGUAGGCGGUUUGGUGAGUCAAAACUCAAAUUCUCUUGCUUAACAAGAGACAGUGCUUUGAUACUACUAAACUUGAGUAUCGGAGAGGUUGCCGGAACUUGCAGUGGAGCGGUGAAAUGCGUUGAUAUUGCAAGGAAUACCAAUGGCGUAGGCAGGCAACUGGCCGUUUUCUGACGCUGAUGCACGAAAGCUAGGGGAGCGAAAGGG
rnacentral:rRNA from 1 species